UAUUAUUAAUGUUGCUCUUUUGUUUCAUAAAAGGUUUGGCACCUUUCAUGAAACAGUUUCAAGGACUCCCUUCUAGAUUCUAAAUAAUUCCUUCCCUCCCAGUUUCCAACUAUGGCUCCUUUCAAGCGUAUUGAUGGAGUUGGACAACGUGCAAUUACUUUUUUUUUUUGCUUUUCCAUUUUGAAAGGUUGGUAAUUAGCUUCUGAGUACUUGCCUAUGGUUAACUAAAGUACAAACAAGAAAUAGCAAUCAAAAACCUCAAGUUUUCUGCUCUUUUGCGCCAAUACUCCAUUAAGUAUUAUCUGCCUUUAGGCACCUCCUGGUAGAAUAGGAUCUCUUUUGCAGUGAACCUCUUUCUGGUGAUGAUGGCAAGGAAAAGGAUUCCAUAUUGAAGUUGCACAGGGCCAGGACAGCAGGGCCAACAAUGUGAGGCGGCAGUGUGGGAAGGUGGGAAUAGUAGAGAUGGAGAAUCAACUUCGGCUAACUCAGAAGGUUAUUAUGAUGAGAAAUAUCUCUCUCUCUCUCUCUCUCUCUCUCCUGUUAUCACUGGUUCUAGGGGCAGCCAUGUCCUGAGCAGCCCUGUGGAGAGACCCACCAGCUAAGGAACUGAAGCCUC
rnacentral:lncRNA from 1 species